rnacentral:rRNA from 1 species
AACGAACGCUGGCGGCAGGCCUAACACAUGCAAGUCGAACGUGAAGCCACCUUCGGGUGGUGGAAAGUGGCAGACGGGUGAGUAACGCGUGGGAACGUGCCUUUCGGUUCGGAAUAACCCAGGGAAACUUGGGCUAAUACCGGAUACGCCCUUCGGGGGAAAGAUUUAUCGCCGAAAGAUCGGCCCGCGUCGGAUUAGCUAGUUGGUAGGGUAAUGGCCUACCAAGGCGACGAUCCGUAGCUGGUCUGAGAGGAUGACCAGCCACACUGGGACUGAGACACGGCCCAGACUCCUACGGGAGGCAGCAGUGGGGAAUAUUGGACAAUGGGCGGAAGCCUGAUCCAGCCAUGCCGCGUGGGUGAAGAAGGCCCUAGGGUUGUAAACCCCUUUCAGCGGGGAAGAUAAUGACGGUACCCGCAGAAGAAGCCCCGGCUAACUCCGUGCCAGCAGCCGCCGUAA